rnacentral:rRNA from 1 species
AGUCGAACGAAGCUUGACGGAUGAUUUCUUCGGAAUGAAACCAGAUAUGACUUAGUGGCGGACGGGUGAGUAACACGUGAGCAACCUGCCUUUCAGAGGGGGAUAACGGCUGGAAACGGUCGCUAAUACCGCAUGACGUGUUCGGAUGGCAUCAUCUGAACAUCAAAGAUUUAUCGCUGAAAGAUGGGCUCGCGUCUGAUUAGAUAGUUGGUGGGGUAACGGCCUACCAAGUCUACGAUCAGUAGCCGGACUGAGAGGUUGAACGGCCACAUUGGGACUGAGAUACGGCCCAGACUCCUACGGGAGGCAGCAGUGGGGAAUAUUGCACAAUGGGGGAAACCCUGAUGCAGCAACGCCGCGUGAAGGAUGACGGUUUUCGGAUUGUAAACUUCUUUUCUUAGUGACGAAGACAGUGACGGUAGCUAAGGAAUAAGCAUCGGCUAACUACGUGCCAGCAGCCGCGGUAAUACGUAGGAUGCAAGCGUUAUCCGGAUUUACUGGGUGUAAAGGGAGCGCAGGCGGGACUGCAAGUUGGAUGUGAAAUACCGUGGCUUAACCACGGAACUGCAUCCAAAACUGUAGUUCUUGAGUGAAGUAGAGGCAAGCGGAAUUCCGAGUGUAGCGGUGAAAUGCGUAGAUAUUCGGAGGAACACCAGUGGCGAAGGCGGCUUGCUGGGCUUUAACUGACGCUGAGGCUCGAAAGUGUGGGGAGCAAACAGGAUUAGAUACCCUGGUAGUCCACACUGUAAACGAUGAUAGCUAGGUGUGGGGGG